UAAGAAUUUUGGGGAUAGAGCUUCACAUGGCUUUCAGUUGGAUGAAACUCUUCGUGAAAAGAAACUAGCUGAGAAAAGUGAAUCAUCCUAUGAAGAGAUAAAGAGUAAUGUGCAGAAGGAACUGGGUUAUGAAGGUAAUGAGAAAAAUGCAAUCAGAAUUUUGGAACAGCCACUUGAAGAAGAGCACGUUGCUCGUGCUGUUCUUUACCUUGAGCUUGAGAAGGAGAGAAGUGCUUCUGCUACAGCUGCAGAUGAGGCCAUGGCUAUGAUACUGCGCCUACAAGACAAGAAGGCAUCCAUAGAAAUGGAGGCUUGGCAAUACCAGAGGAUAAUAUAAGAAAAAUUUGCUUAUGAUGCUGAAGAAAUGAACAUCCUUAAAGAAAUUCUUGUGAGGAGACGGAAAGAGAAGCAUUUCUUGGAAAGGGAAGUUGAAGCUUAUAGGCAGAUGAUUCAUAUUGGAAAUUAACAGUUACAAGAUGUCAUUCAGUAAAUGGUGAACACACAGAGAGAACAGGCUGAUGCUCCAACAGCUAGUGAAUCCAUUGACAAGAAGGAAAUUGUAAAAGAUAAAAGUUCAGUUAAUGAGGUAUUGUCUAUUGAUAAGCAAAACUGUACACCCUUGCUCUUGGAGAGGAAAUAUGAAUUUCCGGAUGGGAUGAAGAAGCUGAUUUUCAAGCAAGGAUAUGUCUAGAAAUCUGUAGCUUCUGGUCUACAGUAAAAUUUGAUGUCAGCAGUUGACAAUGAAAGAUUGAAAAUUGACAUGGAAGUUGAGUGACUCGGAUACAGGUUAAGCAUUGUGCAGGUACAAAGACAAAAGCUCAAUUCUCUGUGGACUAUAGGGAAAGGGAAAAUUUUCAACUACAACAUGUAGAAGAUAUAGCGUAACAACUUCGAGAGAUUUGACAGCUGGCAGAACCUAGAAAGGCUGUGCACGAAGCUUCUUUGCCCCUGCCAUUCUCUAAGUCGGAGACACCAUGGACACGUUGUGACACUUUCCGGACACGCAUGAGGUGUAUCGAAGCCCUAACUGUUGGAGAGAAAGAGAGAGAGAUCGAGGGAGGAGAGGAGAUAGAGAAAGAGAAAGAGAUCAAGAGAGGAGAGAAGACAGAGAUCGAGGGAGGAGAGAAGAGGAGCGCUAACCUGUUCAGAUCAAUUGAAGAAGCUGAGGAUUGUGGGAUCCUCUCUAACAAAGGACAUCAUCGUCGAAUGCAGUUUGCUGGAUCAUUUUCUUGGGGUCCUAGAAUUGUUGCAACAAGUGGAUAAGAGGUAUGUAGUUUCUAGUUUUCUCUCAUCAGUGUUGUAAAUCCCUCCUAGCCACAGAGUACCAAUGUAGGGGUACCACUUGACAAAUAGGUCUUCAUGGAUGGCACUGGUUCAAUUUAUUGUAUGAAGUUCAUAAAAAGGCAGUGUGUUAUGACCAGAUAGUAUUUAUUAUUUAUUCAUUAUGAUUUCUUAAAUUUCAUUACACGCACAUUGAUUAAAAUCAUAUCAAUAUUAUCAAAAAUGUUAUACAACAGUAGUUUAUGUUUCAAUCAUUUGGUACUUUCCCUGUCAGUUCUAGUUCUGCCUGUAAUCACAUAUGUGGCAUGAUUUUUAGAAUCUUCAAAGUAAAAGAUUGCUUUGAUUUUUGCAUUUGGGUGUUGGUUGUAUGUUCACGAGUAUGUAAAAAACAUUAUGCAUUUUUGGUGUAGCAAUGCAAAUAAAAUCCAACAUUUGAUGGUUGAUAUAUACGGUUAAAAUUAGAAAAACCAAACCAAAUCAAACUUUAAGUCUUAUCAAAUGGGGUCGACUAUAUGAAUCAUUCUUCUCCUAUUGACUUUAUUCAAGGUCAUAUCAUUAGUCAAAUUAAAGAGAUUAAUAUUUCUAUUUACUACACUAGCUCACGUCAAUAUAGAUUUGCCCAUUCCCCUAACACUUCCAUCUUCUGUCAGUAUAUCGCAUCCCUUCACUACUGCCUCUAUUGGUCUCUGUUGUAUAUGACCAAAUUAUCUCAAUCUAUUAUCCCUCAGCGUAUCUUCUAUCAAUACUACUCCUACCCAUUCUUAAAUAUACCCAUUCAUAACUCUGUCUUUUCUAGUCUUGCCACACAUCCACCUAAGUAUCCUCAUUUCAGCAACAUUUAUUUUAUCUAAAUGUUGUUUUUUAGUUGCCCAACAUUUCGUCUCAUACAAUAUCAUUGGUCUAAUAGUUGUUCUAUAGAAUUUCUCUUUUAGUCUAGUAGGUAUUCCUUUAUCGCACAGUACUCUAGACGCACUCUUCCACUUAAGCUACCCCACCUUAAUUCUAUAGACUACAUCCACUUCAAUCUCCCCAGAAAAUAACAAAAAUGUUCACUCUUAGGUAGUGUCGAUAAUUAAAAGAAAGAAAGACUCCAAUAUUAGCAAUUACUCUUUUUCUUUUCCUCUCAACACCAAAUGCAUUUGUAGUUAUGCUUGAUAAUUUUAGAUAAACAGAUGCAUUUGUCUACAGAGUUAGGUAAACAUAGUGGUGUAAAAAUGGCUUGGCCUAGCCUAGGUCCGCUUGGCUCUCGCCAAAAAUUGGACCGGACUGUGGCGGCCUAAUUCCAAAAAGUAUAGGCCUAGACCCAUGGGUAAUCGGGUUUCGGGCCUUAGGACUAACUUUAUUUUAAAAUUUUUUUUUUCACCAAAAUAGCUUGCAAGUGAUGUUGGGCGCCAAGGUGGGUCUAGACUAGGCUGGUCAGGCUGCGCCUCAAGCAGGCUUCAUGUUGGCAGGCCAUUUUUACACUCCUAGGUAAACCUAGGUGAAUAGUUAUAAGUCCUCUUGUUUGAGUCUUGUAUUAUUGAGUUUUCUUGGUGAAUUUUUGUUGGGUGUUGAGACCGUGAUUUUUACCCUUUUGGGUUUUCCACAUAAAAUCUUGGUGUUUUUAUGUGAUUCCUUAUCUGUGUGUAUAAUCGUUUAGAGGCUAAAAAUUGAGUAAUUAAUAAGAAUUUUUAUUAAUUGGCUUUUUCACCCUCUCUAGGUAAGUUUAUAUUUCAAGGAACAUGUUGGGAAUAGAUGUCUGGCUUUUUAGAUGAGUCCAACAUUUAUACUAAGCUCAAAAAUAAAAAUAU